AUUCUGGCUCAGGAUGAACGCUGGCGGCGUGCUUAACACAUGCAAGUCGAACGGGAUCCCAGGAGCUUGCUCCUGGGUGAGAGUGGCGAACGGGUGAGUAAUGCGUGACCGACCUGCCCCAUACACCGGAAUAGCUCCUGGAAACGGGUGGUAAUGCCGGAUGCUCCAGUUGGAUGCAUGUCCUUCUGGGAAAGAUUCAUCGGUAUGGGAUGGGGUCGCGUCCUAUCAGCUUGAUGGCGGGGUAACGGCCCACCAUGGCUUCGACGGGUAGCCGGCCUGAGAGGGCGACCGGCCACAUUGGGACUGAGAUACGGCCCAGACUCCUACGGGAGGCAGCAGUGGGGAAUAUUGCACAAUGGGCGCAAGCCUGAUGCAGCGACGCCGCGUGCGGGAUGACGGCCUUCGGGUUGUAAACCGCUUUUGACUGGGAGCAAGCCCUUCGGGGUGAGUGUACCUUUCGAAUAAGCACCGGCUAACUACGUGCCAGCAGCCGCGGUAAUACGUAGGGUGCAAGCGUUAUCCGGAAUUAUUGGGCGUAAAGGGCUCGUAGGCGGUUCGUCGCGUCCGGUGUGAAAGUCCAUCGCUUAACGGUGGAUCCGCGCCGGGUACGGGCGGGCUUGAGUGCGGUAGGGGAGACUGGAAUUCCCGGUGUAACGGUGGAAUGUGUAGAUAUCGGGAAGAACACCAAUGGCGAAGGCAGGUCUCUGGGCCGUCACUGACGCUGAGGAGCGAAAGCGUGGGGAGCGAACAGGAUUAGAUACCCUGGUAGUCCACGCCGUAAACGGUGGAUGCUGGAUGUGGGGACCAUUCCACGGUCUCCGUGUCGGAGCCAACGCGUUAAGCAUCCCGCCUGGGGAGUACGGCCGCAAGGCUAAAACUCAAAGAAAUUGACGGGGGCCCGCACAAGCGGCGGAGCAUGCGGAUUAAUUCGAUGCAACGCGAAGAACCUUACCUGGGCUUGACAUGUUCCCGACAGCCCCAGAGAUGGGGCCUCCCUUCGGGGCGGGUUCACAGGUGGUGCAUGGUCGUCGUCAGCUCGUGUCGUGAGAUGUUGGGUUAAGUCCCGCAACGAGCGCAACCCU
rnacentral:rRNA from 1 species